rnacentral:lncRNA from 1 species
GGUUGGGGGGACAUAGCUGAGUAGUUUAAAAAGCAUAGUGAAUAUGGUUUUACACUUGAAAAUGAAAGAGGACAUUGGUAAACUUUUAGGAAAUGAGAGGGCAAGAUAUUCCAGUUGUCAAUUUAUUACUUCAGCUGCAAACUUAUACUCAGAAACAUGGCAGAAGAUCAGACACCUUCUUGUGAACAGCUUUUCUUGUUACACAAGGGCAGAUUUUCAGCAAGUUCUGAAAGGCAGAUUUCUAGCAAGUUCUACCAGUAUGGCACCACAAUGACUUCUCUGCCACUCAGUGAAUCAUAGCUCUUUCCUUUCCAAUCAGGUAUGGAUCUCAGUCUCGGGGAAUGGUGGGUGGGUGUGGACAGCUCUUCCUUGGACACUCAAACUGAGCCCUAAGGGUAGUGGUUGUUUCUUAUUUCUGAUAUUCUUAUAUUCUUUAGAGCUCUUUUUUACUAGCUAAUCUGUUGCUCCAGUGUCCUCUUAUAAAUAAUAAUUAUUUAUAUCCAACUUUCCCUGGUCAAGCUACUGUGUGUUUUUCUGCUAUAAUUGGACCUUGACUGAUAUACAAGGGCCAUGAGAGAGAACUGGUUCCAGCUUGUAAAGAUCAGGUAAGUAAAUAUCUCAACACCUAAAAAAUGCAAAACAAAACAAUGGAGCUCUCCCCUGCCUUGGAUCACAUGGUGCUAAGUUAUUAAAUCCAGCUCCUGUGCCUGGUAUUUCAGGCCUCCUAUCAAUGGUCUCUAUGCAGCUUCACCAUUUCAGAAAUCCCACUUUUCAUAUUUUUUUCUCAUCAGUACUUUUUAUUCCAGACAAAUCUGCAUGCUACCCUGCACAAGGUGACCUAUAUUCUCACAUCCACCCAUUCAUUUUUUUCUAUGCAAUUACCUCUUAAUUCCAUGUUUAUUUCCUUCUGUAAACCAGUCCUAACUCCUUAUAAACCCAGCUCACCAUUCAAGUUCUUUGAAAAAUCUCUCUAGACCUUCUCACACACUAUUUGUUCAUUUGUCCUGUAUGUGCCCCCAGCACUUCUAUGAUCUUAGUGUACACAUGCAAUAUAAAAUAUACAUUUUAAAUACUUGAAAUCUCUUCAAUAAGUCUGUUGAGACUCCUCCCUGCCAUUAAGUCACAAACUCCUCAAAAGCAAGGACUUUCUCUUUUAUUUCUCCUGUAUUUCUUUCUUGAGGGACCUGGUACUAUGCUUAUCAGAGGCUUCUUGCUUAUUGGAGCUAACUGAAUGACUAGGGACAGCUGGAACUUUUAGCUCUU